UAUGGCAUACCCGCAGACUAUACCGACGAGUAUCAUCGCAUUGGACAAGAUACAACCACGGCGUCCGUCCAUAGGUUUGCAAAAUUGGUCAUCCGGUUGUAUGGUGAUGAGUAUCUUCGGGCACCCAACGAGGAAGAUACAAAGAGAUUGAUGGAGACGGAUGAAAAAAGGGGAUGGCCGGCGAUGCUUGGUAGUCUUGAUUGCAUGCUUUGGACAUGA
rnacentral:rRNA from 1 species